AUUGAACGCUGGCGGCAGGCCUAACACAUGCAAGUCGAGCGAGCGGCGGACGGGUGAGUAAUGUAUGGGGAUCUGCCCGAUAGAGGGGGAUAACUACGGGAAACUGUAGCUAAUACCGCGUACCAUAGGAUGAGCCCAAGUGGGAUUAGGUAGUUGGUGAGGUAAAGGCUCACCAAGUCGACGACCUCUAGCUGGUCUGAGAGGAUGACCAGCAACACUGGGACUGAGACGCGGCCAAGACUCCUACGGGAGGCAGCAGUGGGGAAUAUUGCGCAAUGGGGGCAAACCUGACGCAGCCAUGCCGCGUGUAUGAAGAAGGCCUUCUGGUUGUAAAGUACGUUCAGUCGGGAGGCGUUACCGACAGAGGAAGCACCGGCUAACUCCGUGCCAGCAGCCGCGGUAAUAC
rnacentral:rRNA from 1 species